rnacentral:tRNA from 1 species
GGCAUCUUGUCCGAGUGGUCAAGCAGAGAGCCGAAAUCUUCUGGGGUCUGCCCGCGCAGGUUCGGGUCCUGCAUUUGUCG